rnacentral:rRNA from 1 species
UUGAUCCUGGCUCAGGAUGAACGCUGGCGGUAUGCUUAACACAUGCAAGUCGAACGGAAUCUUCGGAUUUAGUGGCGGACGGGUGAGUAACGCGUGAGAAUCUAGCUUCAGGUUUGGGACAACCACUGGAAACGGUGGCUAAUACCAGAUGUGCCGGAAGGUGAAAGGCUUGCUGCCUGAAGAUGAGCUCGCGUCUGAUUAGCUAGUUGGUGGGGUAAGAGCCUACCAAGGCGACGAUCAGUAGCUGGUCUGAGAGGAUGAUCAGCCACACUGGGACUGAGACACGGCCCAGACUCCUACGGGAGGCAGCAGUGGGGAAUUUUCCGCAAUGGGCGAAAGCCUGACGGAGCAAUACCGCGUGAGGGAGGAAGGCUCUUGGGUUGUAAACCUCUUUUCUCAGGGAAGAACACAAUGACGGUACCUGAGGAAUCAGCAUCGGCUAACUCCGUGCCAGCAGCCGCGGUAAUACGGAGGAUGCAAGCGUUAUCCGGAAUGAUUGGGCGUAAAGCGUCCGCAGGUGGCUGUGUAAGUCUGCUGUCAAAGAGCGAAGCUCAACUUCGUAAAGGCAGUGGAAACUACACGGCUAGAGUGCGUUCGGGGCAGAGGGAAUUCCUGGUGUAGCGGUGAAAUGCGUAGAGAUCAGGAAGAACACCGGUGGCGAAGGCGCUCUGCUAGGCCGCAACUGACACUGAGGGACGAAAGCUAGGGGAGCGAAUGGGAUUAGAUACCCCAGUAGUCCUAGCUGUAAACGAUGGAUACUAGGCGUGGCUUGUAUCGACCCGAGCCGUGCCGUAGCUAACGCGUUAAGUAUCCCGCCUGGGGAGUACGCACGCAAGUGUGAAACUCAAAGGAAUUGACGGGGGCCCGCACAAGCGGUGGAGUAUGUGGUUUAAUUCGAUGCAACGCGAAGAACCUUACCAAGGCUUGACAUGUCGCGAAUCCUGCUGAAAGGUGGGAGUGCCUUCGGGAGCGCGAACACAGGUGGUGCAUGGCUGUCGUCAGCUCGUGUCGUGAGAUGUUGGGUUAAGUCCCGCAACGAGCGCAACCCUCGUUUUUAGUUGCCAGCAUUAAGUUGGGCACUCUAGAGAGACUGCCGGUGACAAACCGGAGGAAGGUGGGGAUGACGUCAAGUCAGCAUGCCCCUUACGCCUUGGGCUACACACGUACUACAAUGCUACGGACAGAGGGCAGCAAGCUAGCGAUAGCAAGCUAAUCCCAUAAACCGUGGCUCAGUUCAGAUCGAAGGCUGCAACUCGCCUUCGUGAAGGAGGAAUCGCUAGUAAUUGCAGGUCAGCAUACUGCAGUGAAUUCGUUCCCGGGCCUUGUACACACCGCCCGUCACACCAUGGAAGCUGGCAACGCCCGAAGUCAUUACUCCAACCAUUCGUGGGGGAGGAUGCCUAAGGCAGUGCUGGUGACUGGGGUGAAGUCGUAACAAGGUAGCCGUACCGGAAGGUGUGGCUGGAUCACCUCCUUUUUAGGGAGACCUACACCCCUCAAAUAUUGAAAGCAAAGUGCAAAUAAAUAUUGAGAUGGUCNANCCUAGGUCGGUNGNNGAGAUUNGGUUGNUAGCUUUCAAACNNUGAUUUGGUUCANUUAUGGGCUAUUAGCUCCGGUGGUUAGAGCGCNCCCCUGNUNANGGUGAGGUCGCCUGGUUCGAGUGCCAGGAUGGCCCUCNUGANANUNNUUGGUAANUGNUNAUUCGUAAUUGGUAAUCAUCCUUUGAGUUGAGACUUGCCAAUUCUGAAUUAUUUAUGGGGGUUUACAUCUGUUGGUUGAGAGCGUCCUUCGCAAGCCGGUUGUGGUCGGUUAGUGUCUUUUAACGUCCUCGUGGUUGCGUCAGCUUUUAAUGUAUGGGUUAAAUUCAGCAACAUGGCUAUAGCCAGACUGCUGGAUAGUUAUCCAGCCAGAACCUUGAAAACUGCAUAGGAAUGCGAUUUUAGAAGGGAGACACAGACAUUGGAUGUGUAUGCGAUGAAGCUGAAUGAAU